GUAGGGUUCCUAGCGAGCCCAACCUCCCACCCGUGUUUACUGUACCUUAGUUGCUUCGGCGGGCCCGCCAUUCAUGGCCGCCGGGGGCUCUCAGCCCCGGGCCCGCGCCCGCCGGAGACACCACGAACUCUGUCUGAUCUAGUGAAGUCUGAGUUGAUUGUAUCGCAAUCAGUUAAAACUUUCAACAAUGGAUCUCUUGGUUCCGGCAUCGAUGAAGAACGCAGCGAAAUGCGAUAACUAGUGUGAAUUGCAGAAUUCCGUGAAUCAUCGAGUCUUUGAACGCACAUUGCGCCCCCUGGUAUUCCGGGGGGCAUGCCUGUCCGAGCGUCAUUGCUGCCCAUCAAGCACGGCUUGUGUGUUGGGUCGUCGUCCCCUCUCCGGGGGGGACGGGCCCCAAAGGCAGCGGCGGCACCGCGUCCGAUCCUCGAGCGUAUGGGGCUUUGUCACCCGCUCUGUAGGCCCGGCCGGCGCUUGCCGAACGCAAA
rnacentral:rRNA from 1 species